rnacentral:rRNA from 1 species
AGAGUUUGAUCCUGGCUCAGGAUGAACGCUAGCGACAGGCUUAACACAUGCAAGUCGAGGGGCAGCACGGGAGUAGCAAUACAACUGGUGGCGACCGGCGCACGGGUGAGUAACGCGUAUGCAACCUACCUAUCAGAGGGGAAUAACCCGGCGAAAGUCGGACUAAUACCGCAUAAAACAGGGGCACCGCAUGGUGAUAUUUGUUAAAGAAAUUCGCUGAUAGAUGGGCAUGCGUUCCAUUAGGUAGUUGGUGAGGUAACGGCUCACCAAGCCGACGAUGGAUAGGGGAACUGAGAGGUUGGUCCCCCACACUGGUACUGAGACACGGACCAGACUCCUACGGGAGGCAGCAGUGAGGAAUAUUGGUCAAUGGGCGGAAGCCUGAACCAGCCAUGCCGCGUGCAGGAAGACGGCCCUACGGGUUGUAAACUGCUUUUCUGCGGGAAGAACGGCCCCCACGGGUGGGGGUGUGACGGUACCGCAGGAAUAAGGAUCGGCUAACUCCGUGCCAGCAGCCGCGGUAAUACGGAGGAUCCGAGCGUUAUCCGGAUUUACUGGGUUUAAAGGGUGCGUAGGCUGUUCGCUAAGUCAGCGGUGAAAUGGCGCGGCUCAACCGUGCAGCUGCCGUUGAAACUGGCGGGCUUGAGUGGGUUCGAGGCAGGCGGAAUGCGCGGUGUAGCGGUGAAAUGCAUAGAUAUCGCGCAGAACGCCAAUAGCGUAGGCAGCUUGCCAGGCCCCAACUGACGCUGAGGCACGAAAGCGUGGGGAUCAAACAGGAUUAGAUACCCUGGUAGUCCACGCCGUAAACGAUGAUAGCUCGCUGUUGGCGAUACACUGCCAGCGGCUCAGCGAAAGCGGUAAGCUAUCCACCUGGGGAGUACGGCCGCAAGGCUGAAACUCAAAGGAAUUGACGGGGGCCCGCACAAGCGGAGGAACAUGUGGUUUAAUUCGAUGGUACGCGAGGAACCUUACCUGGGCUAGAACGCUUCGGGAAUGCUGCGGAAACGCGGCAGCCGGCAACGGCCGGGAGCGAGGUGCUGCAUGGUUGUCGUCAGCUCGUGCCGUGAGGUGUCGGGUUAAGUCCCAUAACGAGCGCAACCCCUACGUCCAGUUGCCAGCGGGUAGAGCCGGGGACUCUGGAUGGACAGCCGGCGUAAGCCGCGAGGAGGGGGGGGAUGACGUCAAAUCAGCACGGCCCUUACGUCCAGGGCUACACACGUGUUACAAUGGCCGGUACAGCGGGAGGCGACCCCGGGAGGGGGAGCGGAUCCCGAAAGCCGGUCGUAGUUCGGAUCGGAGUCUGGAACCCGACUCCGUGAAGUUGGAUUCGCUAGUAAUCGCGCAUCAGCCACGGCGCGGUGAAUACGUUCCCGGGCCUUGUACACACCGCCCGUCAAGCCAUGGGAGCUGGAGGGACCUGAAGUCCGCGACCGGAAGGAGCGGCCUAGGGUAAAGCCGGUGACUGGGGCUAAGUCGUAACAAGGUAGCCGUACCGGAAGGUGCGGCUG